UUUAAAAUAUUUAUUUUUUUCACAGGGCCCAUUUGUAAGGAGUGCUCUAAGCUGUCUUGCAAGUGUUACCAUCAAGAGCUAUAACUGACAUCAUCAGUGAUAUGUAAUUUAAUCUGUGUUUCAGAGAAGCCCUUCUUUUCACAAACAUCCUGAACUGGAGCCCCAAGAGACUAUCUUUUUUGCCAGGCAGUAUGUAAAUGUUUGCCAGCAUUGUGGGAUCACGGAGUAUCUGAAGUAAUUCAAAUAUUAUGAAGUGGCAUGACAAUCCCUGCAUUUCUCUUCCAGCUUCUUCAACAUCUUCAUAAAUUAUCUGGAUUUGGACAUCAGACGCGGACUGGCAAAGUUCGCAGACAACACCAAACUAUGGGGGAAAGCGGUCACAUUGGAGGACAGGUUGGGGAUACAGGCUGACCUGGACAGGCUCGCAAGGUGGACAGACCAAAACCUGAUGGCAUUUAACACAGAGAAAUGUAGGGUGCUCCACCUUGGGAUGAAGAACCAGCAUCAUGCUUAUAGGCUCAGCAGUGCUACACCCACUAGCACUACGGUCGAAGAAGACGUGGGGGUCUUGGUUGACCACAAGAUGAACAUGAGCCACCAAUGUGAUGCCAUAGCUGGCAACACAGACCAAACUCUGGCAUGCAUCCGCUGAUGCACCUCAAGCAAAACCAGGGACGUUAUCCUCCCACUCUACUCACCCUUAGUCAUACUACAGCUAGAGUACUGGAUGCAGUUUUGGGGCCCCCCCACUUUAGGGGGACAUGGAUAAGCUUGAAAGAGUCCAAAGGAGAGCAACCUGCAUGAUCAAAGGCCAAGAAAGCAAGCCUUAUGAGGAGAGGCUGAGAGACAUGGGACUCUUCAGCCUAGAGAAGAGAAAGCUCAAGGGGAACUUGGUGGCAGCCUAUAAGUAUAUAAGGGGGGGUGCAGCAGGAUCUAGGAGAACAGUUGUUCACCAGGGCUCCCCAAGGGAUAACAAGGUCUAAUGACCACAAAUGUCUGGAAGGCUGAUUUAGACUGGACAUAAGGAAAAACUCAUUCACAGUCUGUGUGUCCAGGGUCUGGAACAGACUCCCCCCAGAGGUGGUGCAAGCACUUACUCUGGACUCAUUAAAAAGGUGUUUGAAUGCAUAUCUUGCUGGGAUCAUUUGACCCCAGCAGACUUCCUGCCUACAGCAGUGGGGCUGGACUCGAUCUCAUGAGGUCCCUUCCAGCCCCUAAUGUCUAAGAAAUCUAUGAAGCUGAGGCUUUUAGAUACUUUUACUGCUUAGAUGUAACCUGAAGGCGAGGAAUCAAGGUAUCCGAGACAGGCCUAAUCUUGGAAACAUUUGUUGUUAUUAUUAUUAUUAUUAUUAUUAUUAGGGGUUCCAAGAGAUUUACACACACAAAAUGUUUGCAGAACCAGGCCUAUUCCUCCAAACAGACACUCAAGACUGUACACAACAAGUCUCUUGAAAAGGGUAGAAAAGGAAUUUUUGUAACUAAUUCUGCUACAUACUGUUUCCCACAACAUUGAGCAGUCUUCAGUUAACAUGUGAGCACAGACAUAGACUAAAACACAAUGAUGAUAUAAGUUAGAUAAUAAGCAUGCAUCAGGACCUCCAAUUUUAGAUCUUUAUCAAUAAAUAAUAAAAAUUCACUACUUUUCCCCCACUGUGUUUACUGUUGUCAGCCAGCCAUAAUUCUACUUGUCUGUUACAAUAUUCUCUUAUGUUUUCUGGUUGUAACAUCUCCAUUGCUACAAUUAUCAAUUAUUAUGGGGAUAGCAUACACAAAUAGAAUUAAACUGUUCUGGAUAGAAAAUUGUGCAAAGCAUAUCACACAAAACCCAAGAGUUACUAUACUGCAAAGCAACACAUCACAGGAGCAGUGGACACAUGAUGGCGCUGACUGAAA